GCACACGCAUUAAAAAUAUGUAGGAGUAGUUAUUAUGAAAUCCUUCACAAAGCUUACCAAGUUCCUCUAUUUUUUGCUUUUUUUUUAGUUUAUUUUAAUUUGUUUCAUAACACCACCAUAUUUAGGUUGGCCAAAUUAACUAUCUAACCAUACCUAUAAGGCUAUAAACGAUAGAGUCCCGACGUUAUCAUGGCCCAUAAACUUUUCAAUAUUUAGUUAAAUAUUUGUUAAUUUCAUAAUAAUAGAUGUAUAGUACUCCCUCUGUCCCGCAAAUUUUGAGUCAAUUCUUUUCGGCACGAGAAUUAAGAAAAUGAUAUUUAAUGUGUUAAGUGCGGUAGGUGAAAAAGUG
rnacentral:lncRNA from 1 species